rnacentral:lncRNA from 1 species
GGCGAAGGGUCCAAAGGCCGGGAGCGAGCCGGAUUUAAAAAUGAAAGUGAAAGAGUAAAAAAAUGUGAGCGCUCCUGCGCUAUACGGCUUUUUGGCGUCGCCCUAUCUUGCUGGAGGCAGAUUAAAAAAGCGGUGGAUUACUCGGAUUGGUUCUCGCGUCCCUGUGCCCAAAAGGAUGGGCGAGUUCGGUUUGAGUGUUCAUCGAUCGGGUGGAUCUAUAUGCUCCGGGGUGGUGAGACGAGGUGUAGCGCAGUCUGG